GGGGGUGUAGCUCAGAGGAAGAGCAAUCGACAGCAGAUCGAGAGGUCCCCAGUUCAAUUCUGGGUGCCCCCU